rnacentral:antisense_RNA from 1 species
UUCUUUAGGAAUUUCUCGUAACUAUUUAUUGUAUCCAUAAGGAUUGCAAGAUCUCUUGGAUCAGGUUGUCACCAGGCUGGAGUGCAGUGGUAUAGUCACGGCUCACUGCAGCCUCCACCUCCUGGGCUCAAGGGAUCCUCCUAUCUCAGCCUCCCAAGUAGCUGGGUCUACAGGUAUACUCCACCAUCCCAGCUUAAUCAUUUUUAAUAUUGCAUUUUCUUGGGGGUAAGGGAAAUAAGGAGUUAAAUGUAAAACAGUUUUACUUAUAAAAGGCUAAGAAUAUUUGGCAAGAACUUGGAAUAAUGAAGGAAGCAAAACAAAGUAGAUUUUAUAACUAUAAUUUUGCUGGAUAGUUUUUUUUUGUUGUUUUUUUUUUUGUUUUGUUUUUGAGAUAGAGUCUCACUGUAUCACCCAGGCUGGAGUACAGUGGUGCAAUCUUGGCUCACUGCAGCUUCCACCUCCUGGGUUCAAGCAAUUCUCUUGCCUCAGCCUCCCAAGUAGCUGGGAUUGCAGGUGUGCACCACCACACCUGGCUAAUUUUUUAUAUUUUUAGUAGAGAUGGGGUUUCGUCACGUUGGCCAGGCUGGUCUUGAACUCCUGACCUCAGGUGAUCCACCCGCCUCGGCCUCCCAAAUUGCUGGGAUUACAGGCAUGAGCCACCGUA